rnacentral:SRP_RNA from 1 species
GGGUCGGGUAGGGUGGGGAGGCUCGCCACCUCCUGUACCCGCGUGGCGUAAGGCGGGCACCAGUAACCUCUUCCCCACGGCAAGGAAUAGCCUAGGUCCAGACCGUACGAUGAGGAUCGCCCAGUAGGGUUAACGGCUAUGGGCUUUCCCUUCGGAGGAAGGGAAAGUACCAUACUUACCGGGUGAAUCGGCCAGGCCCGGAAGGGAGCAACCGUAGCCGGACGUUAGCGCUUACUGGUCACCGGUUCGAGGAAGGUCUGGGUUAAGCCUGGGUUAUUCACUACCGCGGGGGAGGGGGGCCGACCC